UGUAUUACUUACGCCAUUUUGAAUUGUUUAGCAAAAUGUAGCGUUAGGUAUAAUUUGUUGCUCUAAUAUAUCAACAGGCGCACGAUAUUUUCUUAACGUUUCCCGCUUAAAAUGUCCAAAAAGUGAAAAAUAAUUCGCUUUCCUCGAGUUCUGUUAUGAUCUGUGAAAAAGUGCUGUAUAACACGUAAAGUUUCAUUCGAAAAGGGUGCAAAGUUCCGAGCAGCGCCGCGGGGUCUUGUUUCGGACAUUUUAAAACUUAUAAAAUCCUCUUUUGAAUGGGAGGAGUGGUCCUAGGGCGGAACCACACGCCUACUAAGCUUUGCACAGCGCAAGAAGAUGAUAUACGUUACGUGCAGUUGAGCGCCAACCGUCAAGUUGAUGCGGGUGGAAUUUUUCCUUACAACAAGUGGUACGGUUUCAUUCAGCGGCUGGCACAAGGUAGAAUAGCUCCUGAGAUCUUAUUUGAAUUGAAAUAAUCUUCUCAUAUUCAAUAUAAUAUUAGUACAAAAACGUUUCGUGCGUAAAACGUUAAAAAGGUUUU